AGAGUGGAAGCUGAAUUAGAGUUUGACAGCUUAAAACCACCGCCCGACACGACGAAGAGG
rnacentral:ncRNA from 1 species